rnacentral:rRNA from 1 species
CUGCAGCCCGAGUGGUGAUCGAUUUUAUUGAGCCUAAAGCGUCCGUAGCCGGACUAGUAAACCCUUGGGUAAAUUGGGCAGCUUAACUGUCCAAAUUCCGAGGGGACUGCUAGUCUUGGGACCGGGAGAGGUCAGAGGUACUCCAGGGGUAGGGGCUAAAUCCUGUAAUCCUUGGGGGACCACCAGUGGCGAAGGCGUCUGACUAGAACGGAUCCGACGGUAAGGGACGAAACCCUGGGGCGCGAACCGGAUUAGAUACCCGAGAGUCC